CCUUACGGGUGCAGCAGGCGCGAAACUGUGCAAUGCGCGAAGCUUGACACGGCUAUCCUGAGUGCCUUGCGCAUGUCAAGGCUUUUCUUCAGCCUAGAAAGCUGGGGAUAAGAGCUGGGCAAGACUGGUGCCAGCCGCCGCGGUAACACCCGCUCUUCGAGUGGUGGGCACUUUUAUUGAGCCUAAAGCGUUUGUAGCCGGUUUUGCAAAUCUUCUGAUAAAUUCCUCUGCUUAACCGAUGAUCUUCUGAAGAGACUGCGAGACUUGGGACCGGGUGAGGUUGAAGGUACUUCCGGGGUAGGGGUAAAAUCCUGUAAUCCUGAAAAGACCACCGGUGGCGAAGGCGUUCUGCUAGAACGGAUCCGACGGUGAGGAACGAGGGCUAGGGUAGCAAACCGGAUUAGAUACCCGGGUAGUCCUAGCUGUAAACACUGCCCACUUGGUGUUGCCCCUCCGAUGAGGCGAUGCAGUGCCGGAGCGAAGGUGUUAAGUGGGCCGCUUGGGGAGUAUGAUCGCAAGGCUGGAACUUAAAGGAAUUUGGCGGGGGGAGCACCGCAACGGGUGAGAGCGUGCGGUUUUAAAUUGCACUUCAACGCCGGAAAACUUACCGGGGAGCCGACCCCUUUGAUGAGAGUCAGA
rnacentral:rRNA from 1 species